rnacentral:rRNA from 1 species
UCGGCGCUAAUACCUCAUAAUGCAGCGGAUCCGCAUGGAUAUGUGUUAAAGGUUUACCGCCUUGGGAUAGGCUUGCGACUGAUUAGCUAGUUGGUGUGGUAAUGGCACACCAAGGCUACGAUCAGUAACUGGGUCUGAGAGGAUGAUCAGUCACACUGGAACUGAGACACGGUCCAGACUCCUACGGGAGGCAGCAGUGAGGAAUAUUGGGCAAUGCACGAAAGUGUGACCCAGCAACGCCGCGUGGAGGAUGAAGGUAUUCUAUAUCGUAAACUCCUGUGAGAGCAGACGAAAGACAGAUUAUUAAUUUGGAUGACUGUAUGCUCAGAGGAAGCUCCGGCUAACUACGUG